AGGAUUAUAGUUAAUAAUAAUAUUUGAUUUGCACUCAAAAGGUAUCAAUUUUGAUUUAUCUUA
rnacentral:tRNA from 1 species